rnacentral:rRNA from 1 species
AGGGGACCUUCGGGCCUUGCGCUAUCAGAUGAGCCUAGGUCGGAUUAGCUAGUUGGUGAGGUAAUGGCUCACCAAGGCGACGAUCCGUAACUGGUCUGAGAGGAUGAUCAGUCACACUGGAACUGAGACACGGUCCAGACUCCUACGGGAGGCAGCAGUGGGGAAUAUUGGACAAUGGGCGAAAGCCUGAUCCAGCCAUGCCGCGUGUGUGAAGAAGGUCUUCGGAUUGUAAAGCACUUUAAGUUGGGAGGAAGGGCAGAAAGCGAAUACCUUGCUGUUUUGACGUUACCGACAGAAUAAGCACCGGCUAACUCUGUGCCAGCAGCCGCGGUAAUACAGAGGGUGCAAGCGUUAAUCGGAAUUACUGGGCGUAAAGCGCGCGUAGGUGGUUUGUUAAGUUGGAUGUGAAAGCCCCGGGCUCAACCUGGGAACUGCAUCCCAAACUGGCAAGCUAGAGUACUGUAGAGGGUGGUGGAAUUUCCUGUGUAGCGGUGAAAUGCGUAGAUGUAGGAAGGAACACCAGUGGCGAAGGCGACCACCUGGACUGAUACUGACACUGAGGCGCGAAAGCGUGGGGAGCAGACAGGA